rnacentral:misc_RNA from 1 species
GAUGAAGAACGGAGUGAAAUGCGAUAAGUAAUGUGAAUUGCAGAAUUCAGUGAAUCAUCGAAUCUUUGAACGCACAUUGCGCCCGUCAGUAUUCUGGCGGGCAUGCCUGUUCGAGCGUCAUUACGCCCCUCAAGUCCCCUGUGGACUUGGUGUUGGGGAUCGGCGAGGCUGGUUUUCCAGCACAGCCGUCCCUUAAAUUAAUUGGCGGUCUCGCCGUGGCCCUCCUCUGCGCAGUAGUAAAACACUCGCAACAGGAGCCCGGCGCGGUCCACUGCCGUAAAACCCCCCAACUUUUUAUAGUUGACCUCGAAUCAGGUAGGACUACCCGCUGAACUUAAGCAUAUCAAUAAGCGGAGGA